rnacentral:miRNA from 1 species
CGUGUCGAUACUGUAUUGGU